rnacentral:rRNA from 1 species
GACGAACCGUGCGAACGUUGUUCGGAAUCACUGGGCUUAAAGGGCGCGUAGGCGGGCUGCCAAGUCUGGGGUGAAAUCCCACGGCUCAACCGUGGAACUGCCUCGGAUACUGGCGGUCUCGAGGGAGGUAGGGGCAUGCGGAACUGUGGGAGGAGCGGUGAAAUGCGUUGAUAUCCACAGGAACUCCGGUGGCGAAAGCGGCGUGCUGGACCUCUUCUGACGCUGAGGCGCGAAAGCUAGGGGAGCAAACGGG